rnacentral:rRNA from 1 species
UGCAGUCGAGCGGCAGCGGGACCUUCGGGUUGCCGGCGAGCGGCGGACGGGUGAGUAAUGCCUAGGACUCUGCCUGUUAGUGGGGGAUAACGCGGGGAAACUCGCGCUAAUACCGCAGACAUCCUACGGGAGAAAGCGGGGGCUCUUCGGACCUCGCGCUAACAGAUGAGCCUAGGUCGGAUUAACUAGUUGGUGGGGUAAGGGCCCACCAAGGCAACCAUCCAUAACUGGUCUGAGAGGAUGAUCAAUCACACUGGAACUGACACACGGUCCAGACUCCUACCGGAGGCAGCAAUGGGGAAUAUUGGACGAUGGGCGAAAGCCUGAUCCAGCCAUGCCGCGUGUGUGAAGAAGGUCUUCCGAUUGUAAAGCACUUUAAGUCGGGAGGAAGGACUGUACGCUAAUACCUUGCAGUUUUGACGUUACCGACGAAAUAAGCACCGGCUAACUUCGUGCCACCAGCCGCGGUAAUACGAAGGGUGCAAGCGUUAAUCGGAAUUACUGGGUCGUAAAGCGCGCGUAGGUGGUUCAGCAAGUUGGAUGUGAAAUGCCCCGGGCUCAACUCUGGGAACUGGCAUCCAAAACUACUGGGCUAGAGUACGGUAGAGGGUGGGUGGAAUUUCCUGUGUAGCGGUGAAAUGCUUAGAUAUGAGAUAGAAACACCGAGUGGCGAAAGCGACUGGCUGCACUGAUACUGACGCUGAGGUGCGAAAGCGUGGGGAGCAAACAGGGAUUAGAUACCCUGGUAGUCCACGCCCUAAACGAUGAUCUACUCGACGAUUGGGGCUCCUAUGUAGAACGUAUCGUGGAGCAACAAAUGCUUUAAGUCGACCUGCCUGAGGGAGUACGUCGGGAUUGAUAAUAACUCGGAUGUAGUUGACGGUCGCCCGCAGCAGCGGUGGAUGCAGGUGAUUUAAUUCGAAGCAACGCGACGAUCCUUACCUGGCAUUGACAUCCUGCGAGCUCGGUAAAGAUACCUUGGUGCAUUCAGGAGCGCAGAGACAGGUGCUGCAUGCCUGUUGUCAGCUCGUGUCGUGAGAUGUUGGGUUAAGUCCCGUAACGAGCGCAACCCUUGUCCUUAGUCACCAGCACCUAGGGUGGGCACUUUAAGGAGACAGCCGGUGACAAACCGGAGGAAGGUGGGGAUGAGGUCAAGUCAUCAUGUCCUUUACGCCCAGGGCUACACACCUGCUACAAUGGUCGGUACAGAGGGUUACCAAGCCGCGAGGCGGAAACAAUCCCAGAAAACCUAUCGUAGUCCGGAUCGCAGUCUGCAACUCGAAUGUGUGAAGUCGGAAUCGGUAGUAAUCGCGAAUCAGAAUGUCGCGGUGAAUACGUUCCCGGGCUUCGUACACACCUCCCGUCACACCAUGGGAGUGGGUUGCUCCAGAGGUAGCUAGUUUAACAU